rnacentral:lncRNA from 1 species
GAACGUGGAAAAGAAGAUAGAACGCGUAGUAUUAUUUUGCAGGCGGGUAUAGCUUUCUCUUGCAGUAAUCCCGACAUUAUUGGUUUUCGAAUAAAAAUCUAUUGUCUAGCUACCGAUCAAUUAGCCCUAAACACUGGCAAGACGAAUGGUAAUUUCGUCUAUCUUUUUCUAGGGCCACGCUGCUGCUGCGGCUUCUCAUUCAGAGAACGAAAAUGAAGGAGGAAUCGUUUGAAAGAGAAAGGCCAUGUCGAGAACAGAAUAUAAAGGAAACGCUCAAAAGAGAAAGGUAACGAGCCCGAGAGGUAUGUUUCAACGCAAACAGAUGUAGGAGAGACGAAAAAGAAAGACAAACGGAGAAAAAUGGAUGGGAAAGAGAAAAAGAAUGAGGAAAAAAGAAAGACAGUGGGAAUGAGAAAGAGAAAGAUGUUACGAGACUGUUGUUGUGUUGGAAAAAGCAAACAGUGCAAUCGGUGAAAUGUAGCUCGAUCGAUGUAUAUACGCAAGAGGAAGAGAAAUAUAUUCUUGUGUGCGAUUCUAUUUCGCAAGGACACACGCGACUAGUAACAUUCAAGUAGUCAAACUUCCUUUUCUAUGAUACUAUGACGGUUCUCUGAACAUACCACGUAUGUAUAUAAUGUACAUUGAACCGUUGAAGAAAGGGUGAAAGUCUCUGGAAUGGGCCGCUUGCAUCGAUGGCAAUUUUCAAUGCUUUUGGAAUUAAUUGGACGAUACACUUGACUAGAUCUUUCCGAGCUCUACCCAGAACGUGAUGUAUAUCUUAUGAAAAAUGCAGAAAGGGAGGGAACAGGGAUCCUGUACAUACAAUGGUAAGACGACGAUGAAGGAGAAGAAGAAGAGUUCGAAUUCAAUGACCGGAUAUACGGCGCACUGAUGAUCGCAUCUUGCGUAUUCAUUUCGUGUCUUCGAUACAACCAAACCUCUGUAAAUAAGUAUCUGUAAAUAAAACCAUCAUCUUUUAAAUGUGUGUGCAUGAAGCAGGUGCGCGCGCGCGCGCGUGCGUGUUUGUGUGUGUGUGUCAAAAAAGUAAUAAAUUGAAAACAGAGAAAUCGCGUAGCCGGUCGGAAAAUAAAACCAAAACUUUCCUACUCUCUA